GGUGGCAUAGCCAAGUGGUAAGGCGCGGGUCUGCAACACCCUUAUCCCCAGUUCAAAUCUGGGUGUCACCUCCA
rnacentral:tRNA from 1 species